GAAAUUGAAAGGCGGCUUCGGCUGUCACUUAUGGAUGGACCCGCGUCGCAUUAGCUAGUUGGUGAGGUAACGGCUCACCAAGGCAACGAUGCGUAGCCGACCUGAGAGGGUGAUCGGCCACACUGGGACUGAGACACGGCCCAGACUCCUACGGGAGGCAGCAGUAGGGAAUCUUCCGCAAUGGACGAAAGUCUGACGGAGCAACGCCGCGUGAGUGAUGAAGGCUUUCGGGUCGUAAAACUCUGUUGUUAGGGAAGAACAAGUGCUAGUUGAAUAAGCUGGCACCUUGACGGUACCUAACCAGAAAGCCACGGCUAACUACGUGCCAGCAGCCGCGGUAAUACGUAGGUGGCAAGCGUUAUCCGGAAUUAUUGGGCGUAAAGCGCGCGCAGGUGGUUUCUUAAGUCUGAUGUGAAAGCCCACGGCUCAACCGUGGAGGGUCAUUGGAAACUGGGAGACUUGAGUGCAGAAGAGGAAAGUGGAAUUCCAUGUGUAGCGGUGAAAUGCGUAGAGAUAUGGAGGAACACCAGUGGCGAAGGCGACUUUCUGGUCUGUAACUGAC
rnacentral:rRNA from 1 species